rnacentral:sRNA from 1 species
UAUUCUAGCAUUUUGUUUUAAGUUAGCGUUUUGUGAAAUGUAUUUCCAAAUCGAGCUUUAGCAAGAAUGUUAAUAUCAAGUGCCCUAGCACGAGGAGGAAAUGACUCAUGGAAAAUGGAAGAGUAAAAUGGUUUAACGCCGAAAAAGGUUUUGGCUUUAUUGAACGUGAAGGUGCAGAUGACGUCUUCGUUCACUUUUCAGCUAUUAAUGACGAAGGUUUCAAAACUUUAGAAGAAGGCCAAGAAGUGACUUUUGAGAUUGAGGAAGGCGCUCGUGGUCCACAAGCUGCUAACGUUAACAAACAAGCACAAUAAUUCAUUAGACUAUCCGGACGGGGUUAAACUCCGUCCUUUUU